GUGGAAACACGUCUUCCUUUACGGGCAAGAUCACAGGUGGUGCAUGGCUGUCGUCAGCUCGUGUCGUGAGAUGUUGGGUUAAGUCCCGCAACGAGCGCAACCCCCGUCGUAUGUUGCCAGCAUUUAGUUGGGGACUCAUGCGAGACUGCCGGUGGCAAACCGGAGGAAGGGGGGGAUGACGUCAAGUCAUCAUGCCCCUUAUGUCCAGGGCUA
rnacentral:rRNA from 1 species